UUUAAAUUUAGAGUUUGAUCCUGGCUCAGGACGAACGCUGGCGGCGUGCUUAACACAUGCAAGUCGAGCGAUGAAGCUUCCUUCGGGAAGUGGAUUAGCGGCGGACGGGUGAGUAACACGUGGGUAACCUGCCUCAAAGUGGGGGAUAGCCUUCCGAAAGGAAGAUUAAUACCGCAUAAUAUAAGAGAAUCGCAUGAUUUUCUUAUCAAAGAUUUAUUGCUUUGAGAUGGACCCGCGGCGCAUUAGCUAGUUGGUAAGGUAACGGCUUACCAAGGCAACGAUGCGUAGCCGACCUGAGAGGGUGAUCGGCCACAUUGGAACUGAGACACGGUCCAGACUCCUACGGGAGGCAGCAGUGGGGAAUAUUGCGCAAUGGGGGAAACCCUGACGCAGCAACGCCGCGUGGGUGAUGAAGGUCUUCGGAUUGUAAAGCCCUGUUUUCUAGGACGAUAAUGACGGUACUAGAGGAGGAAGCCACGGCUAACUACGUGCCAGCAGCCGCGGUAAUACGUAGGUGGCGAGCGUUGUCCGGAUUUACUGGGCGUAAAGGGUGCGUAGGCGGAUGUUUAAGUGGGAUGUGAAAUCCCCGGGCUUAACCUGGGGGCUGCAUUCCAAACUGGAUAUCUAGAGUGCAGGAGAGGAAAGCGGAAUUCCUAGUGUAGCGGUGAAAUGCGUAGAGAUUAGGAAGAACACCAGUGGCGAAGGCGGCUUUCUGGACUGUAACUGACGCUGAGGCACGAAAGCGUGGGUAGCAAACAGGAUUAGAUACCCUGGUAGUCCACGCCGUAAACGAUGGAUACUAGGUGUAGGGGGUAUCAACUCCCCCUGUGCCGCAGUUAACACAAUAAGUAUCCCGCCUGGGGAGUACGGUCGCAAGAUUAAAACUCAAAGGAAUUGACGGGGGCCCGCACAAGCAGCGGAGCAUGUGGUUUAAUUCGAAGCAACGCGAAGAACCUUACCUGGACUUGACAUCCCUUGCAUAGCCUAGAGAUAGGUGAAGCCCUUCGGGGCAAGGAGACAGGUGGUGCAUGGUUGUCGUCAGCUCGUG
rnacentral:rRNA from 1 species